UUGCAAUGAUGGUUAUAUCAUCUACAGAAUGCUUAUGUUGAUCACAAACUCGAGCUUUUUAAAUCUGAGCAAG
rnacentral:snoRNA from 1 species